CUCAACAAUAGUUCUCCAAUCGCACUUCGAGCAGCCUUGUUCUAACACUGAUCCCUCUGCUGAGAUCAGGCAAGUGAAUGAGAAGAAUGAAAAAUAAGCACCAUGUUCCAGUGAAGCGUUGUAACUAUGAGCAGGGACUCACGUGUGAGGGGUCAGAGUCCAUACGUGUUCACAGCAAUGUCAAGGGUAUCACUUAAACUUUCAGUCCCUGAUUUUCACUGCAAGAGGACUAACAUAAAAGAAGACUGGAUUUGAUUCCCUACUGUGUGAGCAGAAAGAUCCUAAUCUGUCUGGAUGCUGAGCAAGUUCUCUGCACAUAGUUGAUGGUGAAGACAUGCUUGUUGGGUGAAAAAAAUGGGUCAUCAGUAAACAGGGCAUUUCAAUACUUUCCAAUUCUAAUUCAAGGCAACAGAGGAAGGUAGAGAUAUAAAGUUCUCUUAAUAUGGAAUUCAGUGAGAAGAAUAACAAUUAUUUUCCAGGAACCCUAAAAUAGUGGAGGGUUUGAAAAUCCUAGUUGAGCACUUAAGCCAGUUAUAAAAACCUUAGAUUUUCAACCAGCUUUAACAAUCCUAAAGAAAGUGUGUCCCA